rnacentral:lncRNA from 1 species
CUUUUCUGGAAAAGCAGUCCAAGCCAUACACCACAGGAGGAGGUGAGGAAAGUGCUUGCAUUUUGGCCAGCUGUGACAGUGACCACAAGAGGCUGCCUGGAUCCUGCUGAUGCUGGUUGCAAAGUCUGGGAUAGUAGGGCUGGGGUUGCUGUGAGGUGGCACUGAGAGGAUGGAGAGGCUCUGGCAGCUUCCCCCACUGUCCUGGAGCUCACUGCAGUGUGCCAUUUGGAGGCACAGGGUGAAGAAGGCUCUCUCUAUGUUCACAUGCUUGAGUCAGUUCAUUUAGGAGCUGGAGGGUAACAAUUGCUUUAUCUGGUUUUCUUUUUGUUGUUGCUUGUGCCUUUGUUUGCUUCCCUCUCCUUUCCCCUUAACAUACCCUUUGAGCUGUUCUUUAAUUGAAGUAAACGGAGCAGCUGCUAUGGUGUGUGUUGUUUUUCCCAUUUUCCCCUGUGAGUCACACAUUUCCUUCCUUAAUGUCUCUAUCUUCGUUGGUCUGUACUAAUGAAGCUCCACAUCUCAGCUGCUGAAUGCUCAAGCUCGUCUGCCUGGAAUUUUCUAACUCAUUUCAAUUCAUUUCCCACUUUCUCCUUUCCCUCCUGCUGCCUUUCUCCUGUUCCCAUUCCAUAGUUCUUUCUCUUCUCUCCCUGUCUUUUCCUCUUCCUCAGUCCCUUCCUGCAUGUGUCCCCAGCCACAGCUCCCCAUCCCCUGCCACAACGUGCAGAGACAGGAACCAUGCAGAGCAAUCCAGAAAGCGCUUUCAAAUCCGUGUCCCCUCCUGA